AAACUAUAUAGUAAAUCCGAAUCAAACCGAACUGAAAAAAUCGGUUUAUUUUGGUUCGGUCCAAUCGGUUCCAAAACACUUCUCAUCCACAAUUACAGAGCCAACCCUCCUCUCAAAUCAUUAGCAGAAAAUCCCCCAAAUUCUCGAUUCAUCAAAUUAAAAUCAUAAACACAGAAAGGAAACUAAGAUCAACUCAAGUUAAAAUUGUUUCAAUUAAAUCAAAUACAAUUUUAAUCACAACAAAGCUACAAGCCUAAAAUAAAAAUAUGUAUGCCUUGAAGGAAACUCUCAUGAAACUCUCGAAAACUCAUGAAACACAAGAUCAAAACCAAAAUGACAAUAAAAACAGUUGAACCAUCAGCAAAUGAAGGUGGAAAACAAACCCAAGUAGAGAAACAAAUCUAUUACUCAAAGAUUCUCGAAACUAUCCAUCGAUCUAGCGAAACAACUCGACCAUGACGGCAGCAAAAGGCAGAGCAAUGAGAGAAAUUGCCAACAGAGACAUAGAGUCCUUGCUAUCAUAACAAAAGGCGUGACCUGUUGGAGCCAUUCUAUUCUGGCACAUAGGGGCAAAGCAAUUGAGGAAGAGGGAGAGGAAAGGAACUAAAGAAGAACAAUAAAAGGAAGAAUCAAGGGAAACAAUGAGAAAGUGAAGAAAAAAAAAGAAGGAAGAGGAGGAGGGUGGGGCUGUGGUGGCGUGAGAAAUGAAAGGUAUAGGUAGAAGAAUAAGAG
rnacentral:misc_RNA from 1 species